UACGGAGGGUGCGAGCGUUGUUCGGAAUCACUGGGCGUAAAGGGCGUGUAGGCGGUCCGCUAAGUCUGAUGUGAAAGCCCGGGGCUCACCCCCGGAAGUGCAUUGGAAACUGUCGGACUCGAGUCCCGGAGAGGAGAGUGGAAUUCCUGGUGUAGCGGUGAAAUGCGUAGAUAUCAGGAGGAACACCGGUGGCGAAGGCGGCUCGCUGGACGGUGACUGACGCUGAGACGCGAAAGCGUGGGGAGCAAACAGG
rnacentral:rRNA from 1 species